rfam:Acidobacteriales bacterium 13_2_20CM_55_8 13_2_20cm_scaffold_2361, whole genome shotgun sequence.
CCCAGGGCUUGCGCCCUGGGCUAAAUUAUUUCGCCCUCCGGGCU